rnacentral:rRNA from 1 species
GAUGAACGCUGGCGGCGUGCCUAAUACAUGCAAGUCGAGCGAACGGACGAGAAGCUUGCUUUUCUGAUGUUAGCGGCGGACGGGUGAGUAACACGUGGAUAACCUACCUAUAAUACUUGUAUAACUUCGGGAAACCGGAGCUAAUACCGGAUAAUAUUUUGAACCGCAUGGUUCAACAGUGAAAGACGGUCUUGCUGUCACUUAUAGAUGGAUCCGCGCUGCAUUAGCUAGUUGGUAAGGUAACGGCUUACCAAGGCAACGAUGCAUAGCCGACCUGAGAGGGUGAUCGGCCACACUGGAACUGAGACACGGUCCAGACUCCUACGGGAGGCAGCAGUAGGGAAUCUUCCGCAAUGGGCGAAAGCCUGACGGAGCAACGCCGCGUGAGUGAUGAAGGUCUUCGGAUCGUAAAACUCUGUUAUUAGGGAAGAACAUAUGUGUAAGUAACUGUGCACAUCUUGACGGUACCUAAUCAGAAAGCCACGGCUAACUACGUG